UGGGGAAUAUUGGACAAUGGGCGAAAGCCUGAUCCAGCAAUGCCGCGUGUGUGAAGAAGGCCUUCGGGUUGUAAAGCACUUUUGUCCGGAAAGAAAACCUCCGCCCUAAUAUGGUGGGGGGAUGACGGUACCGGAAGAAUAAGCACCGGCUAACUACGUGCCAGCAGCCGCGGUAAUACGUAGGGUGCAAGCGUUAAUCGGAAUUACUGGGCGUAAAGCGUGCGCAGGCGGUCCGCUAAGACAGAUGUGAAAUCCCCGGGCUUAACCUGGGAACUGCAUUUGUGACUGGCGGGCUAGAGUAUGGCAGAGGGGGGUAGAAUUCCACGUGUAGCAGUGAAAUGCGUAGAGAUGUGGAGGAAUACCGAUGGCGAAGGCAGCCCCCUGGGCCAAUACUGACGCUCAUGCACGAAAGCGUGGGGAGCAAACAGGAUUAGAUACCCCCGUAGUCC
rnacentral:rRNA from 1 species